AUGAGGCACUUUUGUUCAAACUUCUAUAGGGCAUGUGGCCUUAAGGAGUUGGCCGAUGAUCUUCAAGAUUGUUGUCUCGCUUUCUCCGAUAAGCGCUUCGCCACUUUGUACACCAAAUUGCUCGCACACAAAAAACUUGAUCCCGGGGGUCAAGACUUUCUCAAUAGGCACAUUCAAUACCGGAACAAGUGGGCACGUGCUUUUGAUGAAGAUGGCCGGAGAUACGGUCAAAUGACAAGCAAUAUGGUCGAAUGCUUCAAUAGGGUGCUCAAAGGUGCACGUGGAUUACCCGUGACGGCAAUAGUUCAAUACACAUUUGACAAGAUGAAUGCGUACUUUGUAAAGUACUCGAUGGAAACCGAUGCACAGAUAGCGGGUGAGAACCCACGGAAGUACAAGUACAAGUUCCCACCCAAAGUUGAUGAAUGGUUGGUAUUUCAAUCACGGAAGGCGGACUCAGAAGAAGCUAUAUUAUAUGACAACGAAGAGUGUAAGUACGAAGUGAAAGAGCCAGGAGGAACCACAAACGAUGGCCGGCAACAUGGAGGUCGGGCUUUCAAGGUGUCGUUAACACAAUGUGAUUGCACUUGCGGGAGGCCAUUGUUGCUUCAUCUCCCAUGCUCACACUUGUAUACCGCCGGUCGCGUUAGGAAUGUGGACAUCAAUCACCAACGCACCGUGAGGGAGUCGGAGUUCUCAAUCAUGACGGUCAAGAAAACAUGGGCUCCCCGCUUUCAUCCAUACUUUGACCAAUCACAAUGGCCGGAGUAUCAUGGAGUUCAACUAUGGCCGGAUCCGGAGUUGAAGGUUGUUAAACGGGGUAGACGUAAGACAAAACGUCUUAGAGGCGACAUGGACGGAUGGGGCCAUGGUGGCCGCCGCGAAGUGGGCAACGACCAAUUCCAAGAGCCUCGUGAGAGCUCCCGUUGUGGGGAGUGCAAAGGUCAUGGCCACAACAAAAGAAAAUGUACGAAACCAAGGAAAAGGUCCAAGAAAAAUGAUGCAAGCACAAGCCAACAAGGAGCUACACAAGGGAGCCAACCAAGUGGUAGCCAACCUAGUGGUAGCCAACAAGUGCUAAGCCAACCAAGUGGUAGCCAACCUAGUGGUAGCCAACAAGUGCCAAGCCAACCAAGUGUUAGCCAAAGAGGAUCUAGGCAACAAAGAGGUCGGCAACUAGGACUUAUAAGAGGCUGUGGUGGUGGUGGUAGAGCUCGUGGUGGUGGUCUAGGCCGUGGUGGUGGUAGAGCUCGUGGUGGUGGUAAUGGCCGUGGUGAUGGUCUAGGCCUUGGUGAUGGUCUUGGCCUUGGUGGUGGACUUGGCCGUGGUGAUGGACAAGGGCAAGUUCAUUAUAGAGGAAUGUUUGGAUACCUAGAUGGACCGUUUCCGUAUGUUCCUCACUAA
rnacentral:rRNA from 1 species